GCCCAGGUAGCUCAGUCGGCAGAGCACACCCUUGGUAAGGGUGAGGUCGCGGGUUCAAGUCCCGUCUUGGGCU
rfam:Sulfurihydrogenibium azorense Az-Fu1, complete genome.